AACGCACAUUGCGCCCGCCAGCACUCUGGCGGGCAUGCCUGUCCGAGCGUCACCUCGACCCGUCAAGCCCAGCUUGCGUUGGGGCACUGCGGCUGCCGCAGGCCCCCAAAUACAGUGGCGGGACCGCCCCCGCGCCGAGCGCAGUUUGGCACCUCGCUCCCGCGCGGCGGCGGCCCCGGCCGUCAAGCCCCCAACGGAUGACCUCGGAUCAGGUAGGAAUACCCGCUGAACUUAA
rnacentral:misc_RNA from 1 species